UACGAAGGGGGGCGAGCGUUGUUCGGAAUUACUGGGCGUAAAGGGCGCGUAGGCGGCUUGCCAAGUCAGUGGUGAAAUCCUGCAGCUUAACUGCAGAAGUGCCUUUGAUACUGGCGAGCUCGAGGGAGGUAGGGGUAUGUGGAACUUCUGGUGGAGCGGUGAAAUGCGUUGAUAUCAGAAGGAACGCCGGUGGCGAAAGCGACGUACUGGACCUCUUCUGACGCGUGAGGCGACGGAAAGCCAGGGGAGCAAACGGG
rnacentral:rRNA from 1 species